UCCGAUUUUCAGGGUUUGCCAAGUUUGA
rnacentral:sRNA from 1 species